rnacentral:rRNA from 1 species
AUUGAACGCUGGCGGCAUGCCUUACACAUGCAAGUCGAACGGCAGCAUGGAGAGCUUGCUCUCUGAUGGCGAGUGGCGAACGGGUGAGUAAUGCAUCGGAACGUACCGUGUAAUGGGGGAUAACGUAGCGAAAGUUACGCUAAUACCGCAUACGACCUGAGGGUGAAAGCAGGGGAUCGCAAGACCUUGCGUUAUACGAGCGGCCGAUGUCAGAUUAGCUAGUUGGUGAGGUAAAGGCUCACCAAGGCGACGAUCUGUAGCGGGUCUGAGAGGAUGAUCCGCCACACUGGGACUGAGACACGGCCCAGACUCCUACGGGAGGCAGCGGUGGGGAAUUUUGGACAAUGGGGGCAACCCUGAUCCAGCCAUGCCGCGUGAGUGAAGAAGGCCUUCGGGUUGUAAAGCUCUUUCGGCCGGGAAGAAAUCGCACAGGCAAAUACUCUGUGUGGAUGACGGUACCGGCAUAAGAAGCACCGGCUAACUACGUGCCAGCAGCCGCCGUAA